AUACACAUAGACGGGUGAGUAAUGUCUGGGAAACUGCCUGAUGGAGGGGGAUAACUACUGGAAACGGUAGCUAAUACCGCAUACCAUCAGAUGUGCCCAGGUGGGAUUAGCUAGUAGGUGGGGUAACGGCUCACCUAGGCGACGAUCCCUAGCUGGUCUGAGAGGAUGACCAGCCACUCUGGAACUGAGACACGGUCCAGACUCCUACGGGAGGCAGCAGUGGGGAAUAUUGCACAAUGGGCGCAAGCCUGAUGCAGCCAUGCCGCGUGUGUGAAGAAGGCCUUCGGGUUGUAAAGCACUUUCAGCGGGGAGGCGUUACCCGCAGAAGAAGCACCGGCUAACUCCGUGCCAGCAGCCGCGGUAAUUC
rnacentral:rRNA from 1 species